UAAUACAUUGACAUAUAGACUGUGAAGAUACAUAGUUUUUCAAUCUUUUUAAUUAAUGACCUCCAACUUAAGCCAACAGUUAG
rnacentral:lncRNA from 1 species